UGGUUCCCGUGCCUUGAGAAGUAAUGC
rnacentral:piRNA from 1 species